GACACUCUUCUUCAUCUGAGUCCAGUUGCCU
rnacentral:piRNA from 1 species